CCUAAGAGAUCAACAGCUGGGAAUAUUGAACAGCCCUUAGAUGACGAUGGUAUAUGCAUGAAGAAUCUAUUUGGAUCGCAGUUGUUUGAAGCCAAUAGCA
rnacentral:sRNA from 1 species